rnacentral:antisense_RNA from 1 species
AGUCAUGGCGGCUGUGCGCGGGACGCCUUCGGGCGUGCCGGUUUCCUAAUUUCCCGGUUUUCCAACCUGCGCACAGCUGCCACCCAU